UUCAGACUUAUUUGUGUCCUUUGCCAAAUUAAACAAAUACGAAGGGUAUUCAGGUGAUGUCGUGAUUGCUAUAGUUGGGGUAACGAUGCUAUGAUGCGCCAAUAAUUCAUUAGUUAGCCAUGGCUCUCAUUCCCGCCUCACCAUUCCCACAACCACAAGGUUCAUUGGUCAUAUAUCAAGAAUUCACAUGCGCGACUGAUUUUUGUUACGGACUCAGAGUGGGGGACUAUAAGGUUUUGCGGGUGUGCCAUGUACCUCCUCCUAGUUUCUAUCGAGUACAAAGACGUGGAUAAAGAAAAGUAAGCCUGUGCUCUCCCUUCCUCAAUAAUGCACUGCAAUUUUUACUUUGUUUGUUUUUUAGGUGGACCCGAAAGAAAAGGUUCACAAGUAAUUCGUAGCAAAGAAAAGAUCCAAAACUACUUUCUAUUAUUGAAUAUCUUACAUCUACGGUACAAUAACCAAAAAAAACAAAGAAAAGCCUAAAAACAAAAGUUGUUCUUAACAGAAGUUACAGAAACAUGAAGCUCAUGUUCAUCUUUUUCUUUACAAAACCCACACCGAUAACAUUCCAUAGUCCAUACUUCCUCCCCA